CCUACGGGUGGCUGCAGUAGGGAAUCUUCCACAAUGGGCGAAAGCCUGAUGGAGCAACGCCGCGUGGGUGAAGAAGGUCUUCGGAUCGUAAAACCCUGUUGUCAGAGAAGAAAAUGCGUGAGAGUAACUGUUCACGUCUCGAUGGUAACUAACCAGAAAGCACCGGCUAACUACGUGCCAGCAGCCGCGGUAAUUAGUAGGUGGCAAGCGUUAUCCGGAUUUAUUGGGCGUAAAGGGAACGCAGGCGGUCUUUUAAGUCUGAUGUGAAAGCCUUGGGCUUAACCGGAGUAGUGCAUUGGAAACUGGGAGACUUGAGUGCUGGAGAGGAGAGUGGAACUCCAUGUGUAGCGGUGAAAUGCGUAGAUAUAUGGAAGAACACCAGUGGCGAAGGCGGCUCGCUGGUCUGUAACUGACGCUGAGGUUCGAAAGCGUGGGGAGCAAACAGGAUUAGAUACCCCAGUAGUC
rnacentral:rRNA from 1 species